rnacentral:rRNA from 1 species
ACGAAGAGGUAUCGUAAUUGAAGAGGUUUGGAAAGACCCACCACAGAAGGUAAUAGUCCUGUAUGUUAAACGAGAAGACUUCAGAUAUGAUCCAGAGUACCACGGGACACGUGAAACCCUGUGGGAAGCAGGAGGGACCACCCUCCAAGGCUAAAUACUACCUAGUGACCGAUAGCGUAUAGUACCGUGAGGGAAAGGUGAAAAGAACCCCGGGAGGGGAGUGAAAUAGAACCUGAAACCCUGCACUUACAAGCUGUGGAAGCACAUUUCUUGUGUGACCGCGUACUUUUUGUAGAACGGGCCAACGAGUUACGUUAAGUAGCAAGGUUAAGCACUUAAGGUGCGGAGCCGUAGCGAAAGCGAGUUUUAACUGAGCGUUCAGUUACUUGACGUAGACCCGAAACCGGGCGACCUACCCAUGAGCAGGAUGAAGCGAAAGUAAAAUUUCGUGGAGGUCCGAACCCACGAGCGUUGAAAAGCUCGGGGAUGACUUGUGGGUAGCGGUGAAAUUCCAAUCGAGCCCGGAGAUAGCUGGUUCUCCCCGAAAUAGCUUUAGGGCUAGCCUCAAGGUGAGAGAUACGGAGGUAGAGCACUGAAUGUCCUAGGGGGUAUUGCACCUACCGAAGACUAUCAAACUCCGAAUGCCGUCAUCUUAUACUUGGGAGUCAGACUGUGGGUGAUAAGAUUCAUAGUCGAAAGGGCAACAGCCCAGAUCGUCAGCUAAGGUCCCUAAAUGUAAGUUAAGUGGUAAAGGAUGUGGGAUUGCACAGACAACCAGGAUGUUGGCUUAGAAGCAGCCACUCAUUCAAAGAGUGCGUAAUAGCUCACUGGUCGAGUGAUCCUGCGCCGAAGAUUUCCGGGGCUAAAACUUACUACCGAAGCUACGGCAUCAGUAAUGAUGGGUAGGGGAGCUUCCCAUACGGGUUGAAGCAUGACCGUAAGGACAUGUGGACAGUAUGGGAGUGAGAAUGUUGGCAUGAGUAGCGAGAUGUGGGUGAGAAUCCCACAGGCCGUAAACCCAAGGUUUCCAGGGGAAGGUUCGUCCGCCCUGGGUUAGUCGGGACCUAAGCUGAGGCCGAAAGGCGUAGGUGAUGGACAACAGGUUGAUAUUCCUGUACUACCGAUAACCGUUUGAGAGAAGGGAUGACACAGUAGGAUAAGCUAAGCACACUGUUGGUUAUGUGUGCCCAAGCAUUGAGGCAGUCAAAGCAGGCAAAUCCGCUUUGAUAAUGCUGGGAUGUGAUGGGGAGCGAAAUUUAGUAGCGAAGUAGCUGAUUUCACACUGUCAAGAAAAGUCUCUAUCGAGGUUAAAGGUACCCGUACCGCAAACCGACACAGGUGGGUGAGGAGAGUAUCCUAAGGCCAGCGAGAGAACUGUUGUUAAGGAACUCGGCAAAAUGACCCCGUAACUUAGGGAUAAGGGGUGCCACCAUCCGGUGGCCGCAGAGAAUAGGCCCAAGCGACUGUUUACCAAAAACAUAGGUUUCUGCUAAGUCGCAAGACGAUGUAUAGGAGCUGACGCCUGCCCGGUGCUGGAAGGUUAAGGGGAUCUGUUAGAGCAAUCGAAGCAGUGAACUUAAGCCCCAGUAAACGGCGGCCGUAACUAUAACGGUCCUAAGGUAGCGAAAUUCCUUGUCGGGUAAGUUCCGACCCGCACGAAAGGCGUAACGAUUUGGGCACUGUCUCAACAACAGACUCGGUGAAAUUGUAAUUCCGGUGAAGAUGCCGGAUACCUGCGACAGGACGGAAAGACCCCAUGGAGCUUUACUGUAGCUUGACAUUGGGUCUUGGUACUACAUGUACAGGAUAGGUGGGAGGCUUUGAAACCAGGACGCCAGUUUUGGCGGAGCCAUCCUUGGGAUACCACCCUUGUAGUACUGGGACUCUAACCAUAGGCCAUGAAUCUGGUCUUGGGACACUGUCAGGUGGGCAGUUUGACUGGGGCGGUCGCCUCCCAAAAGGUAACGGAGGCGCUCAAAGGUUCUCUCAGUACGGUCGGAAAUCGUACGUAGAGUGUAAAGGCAAAAGAGAGCUUGAUUGCAAGACAUACAGGUCGAGCAAGGAUGAAAAUCGGACUUAGUGAUCCGGUGGUUCUGCGUGGAAGGGCCAUCGCUCAACGGAUAAAAGCUACCCUGGGGAUAACAGGCUUAUCUCCCCCAAGAGUCCACAUCGACGGGGAGGUUUGGCACCUCGAUGUCGGCUCAUCACAUCCUGGGGCUGUAGUAGGUCCCAAGGGUUGGGCUGUUCGCCCAUUAAAGUGGUACGCGAGCUGGGUUCAGAACGUCGUGAGACAGUUCGGUCCCUAUCCGUCGCAGGCGUAGGAAAUUUGAGAAGACCUGUCCUUAGUACGAGAGGACCGGGAUGGACGUACCUCUGGUGUACCAGUUGUUCUGCCAAGGGCAUGGCUGGGUAGCUAUGUACGGAAUGGAUAAGCGCUGAAAGCAUCUAAGCGCGAAGCCAACUUCAAGAUAAGAUUUCCCACCGCAAGGGUAAGACCCCAGAAAGACUAUCUGGUUGAUAGGUCGAAGGUGUAAGUGCAGCAAUGUAUUUAGCUUAUCGAUACUAAUAG